rnacentral:rRNA from 1 species
GACGAACGCUGGCGGCGUGCUUAACACAUGCAAGUCGAACGGAAAGGCGCUGCUUUUGUGGGGUGCUCGAGUGGCGAACGGGUGAGUAACACGUGAGUAACCUGCCCUUCACUCUGGGAUAACUUCAGGAAACUGGGGCUAAUACCGGAUAGGAGCUCCUGCUGCUUUGUGGGGGUUGGAAAGUUUCGGCGGUUGUGGAUGGACUCGCGGCGUCUCAGCUUGUUGGUGGGGUAGUGGCUUACCAAGGCUUUGACGGGUAGCCGGCCUGAGAGGGUGACCGGCCACAUUGGGACUGAGAUACGGCGCAGACUCCUACGGGAGGCAGCAGUGGGGAAUAUUGCACAAUGGGCGGAAGCCUGAUGCAGCGACGCCGCGUGCGGGAUGACGGCCUUUGGGUUGUGAACCGCUUUCGCCUGUGACGAAGCGUGAGUGACGGUAAUGGGUAAAGAAGCACCGGCUAACUACGUG